rnacentral:lncRNA from 1 species
UUGUGAGGAGAGUUCUUUGGGCCACCCGCAUAUGAAGCUGGGUCAAGAUAUGUUACGGCCGGAAAGAAAUAGGGAAAUUGAGUGUCUGGGCUUGUUAAAUCUCACAUAGUCACAUAUAAUAAAAUAAUUUUAUUAUUAUAUCAUCACUACAAAACUAAAUAUUAAUUAUAUUUAGCAAUAAACAUAAAACAAAAAUAUAUUUUUUAAAUUUAUAAAUGAAAUUAUCUUUGUGGAACGAAGGAAAUAAUACACAUAAUUUUAGAAUUUAGGUGAACUAAUUGUACAAAUACUUGGCGCGACAACUAAAGUGUCAGGCCCAAACUCGUGAACAAGCCAAACUCAAACAAGCAUUUAUUUCUACGAGUCUCUUUCAUAUGGAGAUAAGAUUCAUUCACUAUUUAUAUAAGAAGAAUUAUAUAAAAAUAUCAGCUCUUUUUAUUUAUCCUAGACUUGAGGUUGAGAUUGAGGUUGAGGUUGAGGUUGAGGUUGAGGUUGAGGUUGGGGUUGGGUGGUUGGGGUUGGAAAGAUAGGGAAAAAAAGGUGGUAGUGAUAGUUAGACCAGUAGUUGGAGCUUAUUCAACGAAACUUACAAAAUUCACUAACAAUGCUCACUAUAAUAACAAAAAAUUUAUGUAGAUAUGAAAAUUCAAUAUAAGUGUAUUUGAAUUUUAUUAAAUUGUAUUUUGAUCCUUAAUGGUGGGUAAAAAUAUAAAUAGGUGAAGUUCAAAUACAUUUAUAUCUAAUUUUCAUGUCCACCUAGAAGAGCUCCUAUAAUAUAUGAGCUAGAUGGAAAUGAAAAUGAUAUAUAUAAUGGAAAAAGAAUUUUGUUGUGUACUGUGAUAUAUUUAUGUCGAAUUAUAAUUGUGAAAUUUAUCCAUAUAUGAGAUUCGUAAGAAUUAUAAAAGAUUACACAUUACACAUAUCUCCAAAAAGAUUACUGUAUAAAUUUGACUUGAUUCGGACUUAAAAUUUGACCCAAGUAAGACAUUGUUCGGAUGAAUUUAAUUUAAUUUGAACUUAAAAUUUGAACCAAUAUUUAUUUUAGACUCUAAAAUCGACCAUCCGUAAUAUAUAUCAUUUUCUACGGAAAAUAAAUAAAUGAUAAAAUAGGAUUCUUUCAUAAUUUAACUUCCGGGCAUCGCGGUGCUGAGCUUUGACUGGACAGAUUAGGGGCCUAAGGAAUUUUCAGGAAUCUUUAUCAACAGUUCAGUCUUCCCCUUUUAACUAAAACGCGACACGACUGACGAGAGGGAUUUUUUUUUUUUUUGGAAAUUGAUAUUUUUACAUGAUAUUUUGAUAUUUUUAUAUAAGAAGUGUUGUUAUAGAUAUAUAGGGACGGUUAAAAACGUCGCUAUAGGAUUUAUAACGAC